CGUAGGGUGCGAGCGUUGUCCGGAUUUAUUGGGCGUAAAGGGCUCGUAGGUGGUUGAUCGCGUCGGAAGUGUAAUCUUGGGGCUUAACCCUGAGCGUGCUUUUCGAUACGGGUUGACUUUGAGGAAGGUAGGGGAGAAAUGGAAAUUCCUGGUGGAGCGGUGGAAUGCGCAGAUAUCAGGAGGAACACCAGUGGCGAAAGGCGGUUCUCUGGGCCUUUCCUGACGCUGAGGAGCGAAAAGCGUGGGGAGCGAACAGGCUU
rnacentral:rRNA from 1 species